rnacentral:rRNA from 1 species
GGGCCCGCGUCCCAUUAGCUAKUKGKKGAGGUAMCGSCUCACCAAGGSGMCGAUGGGUAACCGGCCYUGAGAGGGGGGRACGSCCCCACUGGGGMUKRAGACACGGSCCCARMUUCCUWMSGGGAGGCCAGCAGUAGGGGAAUAUUCSCCAAUGGMCGGAAGUCUGACGGCAGCGCCCCCGCGUGAGCGAUGAAAGUCUUCGGGAUCGUAAAGCUCUGUCCUGGGGGAAGAAGRMGAAAAGCUUGACGGUACCCCAAGAAGAAAGCCCCCGGCUAACUACGUGCCAGCAGCCGCGGUAAUACGUAGGGGGCGAGCGUUGUCCGGAAUUACUGGGCGUAAAGGGUGCGUAGGCGGCCCUUUAAGUCGGAUGUGAAAGCCCGCGGCUUAWCCGCGGAAUGGCAUUCGAAACUGGAGGGCUUGAGUGUCGGAGAGGGUAGUGGAAUUCCCAGUGUAGCGGUGAAAUGCGUAGAUAUUGGGAGGAACACCAGUGGCGAAGGCGACUACCUGGACGAUAACUGACGCUGAGGCACGAAAGCUAGGGGAGCAAACAGGAUUAGAUACCCUGGUAGUCCUAGCCGUAAUCGCUUGUUACUAGGUGUKGGUGGUUUCGAUACUCAUCCGUGCYGUAGUUAACGCAUUAAGUACCCCGCCKGGG